CGAGCACGCGCGUGUGGCAUAUCAAUAAGCGGAGGAAAAGAAACUAACAAGGAUUCCCUUAGUAACGGCGAGUGAAGCGGGAAGAGCUCAAAUUUGAAAUCUUCAAGGUUCUACCUUGACGAAUUGUAGUUUAUAGAAGUGUUUUCUGUUAGUAGAGUGGCAAAAGGUUCUUUGGAAUAGGACAUCAUAGAGGGUGAGAAUCCCGUAUUUGGUCAUUCUUCCUAGCGUUGUGAUACACUUUCAACGAGUCGGAUUGUUUGGGAAUGCAGUCCAAAAUGGGUGGUAAAUUUCAUCUAAAGCUAAAUAUUGGCGAGAGACCGAUAGCGAACAAGUACCGUGAGGGAAAGAUGAAGAGAACUUUGAAAAGAGAGUUAAACAGUACGUGAAAUUGUCAAAAGGGAAGCGUUUGACACCAGUGUUGUUUUUCCGAAAAUCAAUUACGAAUGUUUUGUUUUUGAAGGAGUUAUGACUUCAUCGGCUUGCUUCUUUCUUUACGAAACUUUCUUAAUGCACUUUUCGGUUAACAAGUCAACAUCAAUUUCUUUUGUUGUAAAAGGGUAUGAGGAAGGUGGCUUUCUUUUCGGAGAAAGUGUUUAUAGCCUUGUAGCCUCUACAAUCGGAGAGAUUGAGGUCUGCAGCGUAGAUCCUUCGGGGUUAGAUACAGUUUGUGCUAAGUUAUAGCUUUUCAUAGACAACUUGUUGACUAUGUUAGUCUUGUAGCUUACUCGCUUAUGCUAUUUUACCUACGCUUAGGAUGUUGAUGUGAUACUGCGAGCA
rnacentral:rRNA from 1 species